GGACUACCAGGGUAUCUAAUCCUGUUUGCUACCCACGCUUUCGUGUCUCAGCGUCAGUCGUGGUCCAGUAAGCUGUCUACACCACAGGUGUUCCUCCUGAUAUCUACGCAUUUCACCGCUACACCAGGAAUUCCGCUUACCUCUCCCACACUCGAGCAUUCCAGUCUCCGCCGCACCCUCCCAGUUAAGCCGGGAGAUUUCACGACAGACUUAGAACACCGCCUACACACUCUUUACGCCCAGUAAUUCCGAACAACGCUUGCUGCCUACGUAUUACCGCGGCGGCUGGCAC
rnacentral:rRNA from 1 species